ACGGUGGGGGCAAGCGUUUUUCGGAAUUACUGGGCGUAAAGGGCUCGUAGGCGGCCAACUAAGUCAGACGUUAAAUCCCCAGGCUCAACCAAGGAAGUGCAUCCGAAACUGCUGAGCUUGAGUACUUAAGAGGAUCGCGGAAUUCCCGGUGUAGAGGUGAAAUUCGUAGAUAUCGGGAGGAACACCAGUGGCGAAGGCGGCGAUCUGGGAAGAUACUGACGCUGAGGUGCGAAAGCGUGGGGAGCAAACAGG
rnacentral:rRNA from 1 species